GCAGAUGUGGCAGAGUGGUCUAAUGCGUCGGCCUUGAGAGCCGAUUCGCCGUAUGGCGAGCAGGAGUUCAAAUCUCCUCAUCUGCG
rnacentral:tRNA from 1 species